UCUAGGUAUGGUGGCACACAUCUAUAACCCCAGCUACUAGGAAAGCUAAGGUUGGUGGAUCUCUUGCGCUCAGGAAUGCUGAGUAGCAGUAGGCCACGCUCAUUAGGUGUCUGCACUAAGUUUGGCAUCGAUAUACAAGCCCAUCUGAGAUGGUGAGGGGGUACCGGUUUGCCUAAGGAAGGGACAAACUGACCCAGGUCUGAAAUGGAGCAGGUCAAAGUUUCUGACAAUCAGUAGUGGAAAUGGGCCCAUGAGUAGACCCUGCACUUCCAGCCUAGGGUGAGAUAGAGAGAUACAGUCUUU
rnacentral:SRP_RNA from 1 species